UCACUGCUUGCGCAGGCAGUCUCGCUAGAGUCCCCGGCAUAACCCGCUGGUAACUAGCAAUAGGGGUUGCGUUCGUUGCGGGACUUGACCCAACAUCUCACGACACGAACUGACGACAGCCAUGCAGCACCUCACUACCGGUCCGAAGAAGGGCCCCUUUCAGGGCCUGUCCGGUAGCGUUCGAGCCUGGGUAAGGUUCUUCGCGUUGCAUCGAAUUAAUCCACAUGCUCCACCGCUUGUGCGGGCCCCCGUCAAUUCCUUUGAGUUUCAACCUUGCGAUCGUACUCCCCAGGUGGAAUGCUUAACGCGUUAGCUUAGACACUGCCCCUAAAGCGGCGCAGCAUCGAGCAUUCAUCGUUUACGGCGUGGACUAC
rnacentral:misc_RNA from 1 species